rnacentral:lncRNA from 1 species
CUUUGGAUCAAACCUGAACCUUAUAUGUAUUGCUAGCUAGACAUAGUCAACUCUUCAAUCUCCUUUGACUCAUAACUUAAUUCUCAAUUAAGUUAGCUUAUGUAUUCAAUCAAGUCAAGUACUUUCAAAUUGUACAUAUAAAUAUAGGCCAACACUUUUCGAUGGUGUCUAACUUGUAUGUGUGACUCUAUAAGUUAAAACACUA